UAUUUCUCUCUUGUACUUUUUUGAAGCAGUGAAUUGAAUGGACUAUUAGAGCAAAUAUACCUGCUUCAAUACCAAGACCAGAACUCCUAAUUACUGAUGCUAUCCAGGCAACUCUUCUAUUAGCUGGUGUUGCACCAAAUGACUUGUUUUACCCUCCAUAUCAAUUUGUGGGAGCAAUUAAUGCUUUCACUGGGAUUGAUCAUGCAAUCAAGUGUAAUUUUGGUGCUUCAAUGAUUAAUCAAAUGGUUGAAAUUCAUUUUUGUGCAAAGAUCAGCAGAGAGCUCAUUUCUUGUUGCAACCCAAAUGUAUCCAUGAACUGAGAUCGUUUUGUGAGAUUCACUGUAGAUCAAAAUCCAACAAUAUUUAAUCAGUCAGCAGCACUUGCUCCCGCGGAUGGAAAAACCGCGAAGGUUUCUAGAAGUAGUUCAAUAACUGUGACAAAUCUUCCGUGACGAGGCAAAUGGAUGUGCAAAUAAGUUGGUGCAUACAUGUGGCCCUAUGGCCUUUUUUUAUUAGGGAGAAGAUGCUUAUAGUAGCCUCUGAUAACUGUGAAAUAUAUGUAUUCGAAGUUAUAAUGCGAAUCUUUUUGUAAAAGAACUAUUAUCAUUGGUGGAUCAAUAACAUGCUCUGAUAGCGACUGUCC